GUUCUGUAAUCGAUAAACCCCGAUCAACCUCACCAAUCUUUGCUAAUUCAGCCUUUAUACCGCCAUCUUCAGCAAACCCUAAAAAGGAAAAAAAGUAAGCACAAUAAUCCAAAGCAUAAAAAAGUUAGGUCAAGGUGCAGCCAAUAGAUUGGAAUGAAAUGGGCUACAUUCUUUUUAAAAAAGCAUACGGAUAUUUUUAUGAAACUAAAAAUUGAAGGAGGAUUUAGCAGUAAAUUAAGAGUAGAGUGCUUAAUUGAAA
rnacentral:rRNA from 1 species